GUGCUUGCUUUGGCAGCACAUAUACUAAAAUUGGAACAAUACAGAGAUUUGCAUGGCCUCUGCACAAGGAUAUUUUUUAAAUGCUUAAAAGCCUAACAAAUAAAU